UGGAUCGCAGUGGCUUUAUAUCUUUGUUGCUUUAGGAUCGUGAAGCAACAAACCUCAUUGGGAAGUCUGCUAAUGAGUUAAAUGAAAGUUCAAUAGAGACUUCUGGUGCUGUUGAGGAGUGUUCUUAUCCAGUGGAGUUGUAUGGCAUUCUUGACAAAAAAGUCAUGUUUAAAGUGACUAUUAAGAGCUCCAACAUUAAAGUGCAUGCGGAAGUUUAUAAUGUUGUUAAAAUCAGCGAUGACGAUAACCUUAUACGGCAAUAUAGUAAUUCUCCACAAGCAGAUACAUUCACUGACCUUGAUUUUAAGUGUGAAUAACACAUGAUGCAGACACAACUUUCAAGGAUUUAAUGGCUGAUAAUGAGAUGACUUCUCCUGCAAUGACCCCUGCCAAAAGAAGUAGAGAAGAGGAUGGAUCAUUUAUAGUAGAGUUUGUGAUGAUCUUGCACAAUUUUCAAGUAACAAGGUUAAAAGAGUGAUUAACAACAACCCAAUAAAAUCCCACUAAUGGUGUUUGGGGAGGAUAGUGUAUACGCAAACCUUACCCUGAUCCCGAAGGAGUAGAGAGCCUAUUUUCGAAAGAUCCUCGGCAACUCCCACGAUUAAACAGGAGAAAAAUCCAUGAAUGACUGCAUUUACUUCAUUUUAAAUGACAUUGUUUGUAUAUUUGCAUUAACAAGUACUUUGGUACAAUUUGAUGUACUUUUAUUUGUAUUUUAAUUUGGUUUCUACCAUUUAGAAUCAUGUUUUAAUAUCUGAAAUUAGUUGACUCUUUG